rnacentral:rRNA from 1 species
AAUGAACGCUGGCGGCAUGCCUUACACAUGCAAGUCGAACGGUAACGCGGGGCAACCUGGCGACGAGUGGCGAACGGGUGAGUAAUGUAUCGGAACGUGCCCAGUUGUGGGGGAUAACUGCUCGAAAGAGCAGCUAAUACCGCAUACGACCUGAGGGUGAAAGCGGGGGAUCGCAAGACCUCGCGCAGUUGGAGCGGCCGAUAUCAGAUUAGGUAGGUGGUGGGGUAAAGGCUCACCAAGCCAGGGAUCUGUAGCUGGUCUGAGAGGACGACCAGCCACACUGGGACUGAGACACGGCCCAGACUCCUACGGGAGGCAGCAGUGGGGAAUUUUGGACAAUGGGCGCAAGCCUGAUCCAGCCAUGCCGCGUGCGGGAAGAAGGCCUUCGGGUUGUAAACCGCUUUUGUCAGGGAAGAAAAGACUCCUGUUAAUACCGGGGGUUCAUGACGGUACCUGAAGAAUAAGCACCGGCUAACUACGUGCCAGCAGCCGCAGUAAAAC